rnacentral:misc_RNA from 1 species
CUCUCUCCUUCGCUCUCCCUCCUUGGCAUUUACUCUCUAACGCCAUAUUCCUUAUAUAUUUCUUUUUGUUUGUUCUCCCCCUCAUUCACGAUUUUACGUUUGUUCUCUUUUCUGUGCAUGUGUGUCUUUGGUUUGUCUUACUUCUUAUCACACACACACACACACACCGAUCUAAGCACCUGCGGCUGCCCCCCUCCCCUCCCUACGUCGAUUGUGCCAUUUCACAUUUCUUCUAGGCAGAGCCGCUGACUCUUCCUCUGCGCCAAUAAAAGUGCCACCCGCUUGCGUGUGUACUUGAAAAAUGAGCCACUCUUUUUGCCGCGUCGGCAUUGCCAUCUACUGCAUUCUACAGCUCAUCGCCUUCAUAUUCAUCCUUGCUGGAACCCUGAUUGACCAAUUCCGCGUACAGAACGUGGAUGUACUCAGCAACAGCCCGUGCCUGACGAUAUGGGGCUUCAAGGACAAGUGCAUCUCGCUCAAGUGGAGUGUCCUGACCAAGGACUUAUGGAAGGGCUGCCCUCAGCGCCUGAAGCGCUUCAACGCGGCUGAGGCUCUGAGCAUUGCUGCCGUCCUCAUCAGUGCUCUGGCGUGCCUCAUCGGAUUUGUCAUGCUGUGCUGCUGCCGCUGCUUGCGCUGGCUUUGCCUAAUUCUGAACAUUCUGGCCACCCUCUGUGGCUGUGCCGUCACCGCACUCAUGAUCGACGCCUUCUACAACAACCAUGAGGAAGGCCUUCAGCAUUACAACAACUCCUGCUACGCGCUCCGCCAGAACGGCUCCGUCAUUCGUCCUUCGGCCAUCGUAGAUGGCAAUCCAGUGGCCACUCAUUACAAUUACGGUGCCGGCUUUGCCAUUUACAUUGUUGGCUGGGGCCUCUGCUUCAUCAACAUCUUUUUUCUCAUGCUGCCGUGCUAAAGGGACGUGCCUCUCAGCUUUUCCCCUCCGGUUACUCCCUCCCGUCGGCCAAAUGAGGUAUGAUUGUGCCCUUGCGCCACGAUGAUUUCGCACACAGCUGCUGUCUUGUCCCGUGCGCGAGUGCGCCGCCUUCCAGGCACGCGAAUAGGGCAAAAACAGAGGUUUCUAAGAUCAAACAAAAAAGCGUCUGAGGAGGCCAGCGCGAUAGAGGAGAUAGCACAGAGACAUCAGAGCGCGCCGGGCCUGUAUGUGUGUACGUCUAUGCUUGUGCGUUAUCACUGAAAACUUGCACGCGCAAACACACUCAUGUACGGCGCAUUCGCAUGGAAUCAAGUAUAUACAUAUAUAUGCUCAUCUUUCGCUGUUGCAUUCUUGUUAACUCCUCGCCUGUUUUCCCGAUUCCCUGAUUUUGCGCGCUCGAAUCCCAGUGAUGGUGCUCGAGGCCUUUUCUUCCGUGAGAAACGUCUCUUCCUCACCUUCUUACUCGUUUUUUUUUGCGCUCGUAGCAGUGGUCUGGCCGUAUUUUUUCUUCGCGCCUGCAUUGUCCAUUUCUUUGCGUAUGCGGGGGCCGGCUCCUUUCAUGUCUCAUUUUUUUUUUAUGUCCCUCGUCGUUGUGUAUAGCAGGUAGGCAGCAAUGCUCGAUUGAUGGAGACGAGGCGGUGGAGAGAACAUGUGUGCAAAGCAUGUCGCAGGCGGCGCGCGCCAGUGGCGUUCCAGCAUCGAGCGGGACGCGGGAGCAAGAAAACGGACCGCCGGCCAUAUAGAAAAACUGCGAAAAGUGGGACGAGGUCAAUGAAGGAUGAGGAGCGAGGCAAGCAAGGAAGGAAGAGGACAGGCCGCUGAGGAUAAUCUUGGACGCUGAUGUAACAAGAGAGCAACGAAACCAAGCUGCUUCUGCAAUGCAAAACUGCCUUCAUCCUCUCUCUCUCGCCACACAUGCGGGCGCGAUCAGAUAGGAAUUCUGCGCGUUUCUCUAGUUUACGGCCUCUUUGCCUUCUCAUCUUUCACGCCGCUUUCCUUACAGUCCUUCAACUUUUACUCCCCCCCCUGGACGGUCCUCCUCCCGUUUCCAGCACGCGAGUCCGUCAUGCAUGUCUGCAUCAUGCCUCUCUCCUCACGCAUGUGAUCAUCUCCAUACAAGAACCUUCGAAUGCGUCUGCCUCUCCCUUUCGCGUUUUUAUUUUCUUUUCUCUGUCUGUUGUGUCCCGCUGCCUUUCUUGAUCUCAGGAUGUGCUUUUAGAAAACUCGCACACGCACCUGUGCCACGUCACGUGGUAACGCCACGGCGCACGUCCUUCUGUUUUCCGCAUGCCCCUUUGCCACCGAUAUAUAUAUAUAUAUAUAUGUAUGGCGGCGCUCUCUCUUCGUUUUCAUUGUCUUGACAUUCGCGCUGGCGACGACGCUCUUACGUGAGGCCACUCCCCCUCCCUCCCCACUCUUUUUUUUUGCGGUCGCCACAGCUUUUCGUUCUUUGUUUAUAUAUAUUUUCUCUCGGUAAACAUUUGCUUUUUGUUUCUGCCGACGUCCUUUUCUGGUUUUGGUUGUUUAGCUCGUUGAUGGGCUCUCUCUUUGCGCGUGCUUGCAUGUGUGUCUGUGUGCGGCCCAUGCCAUCUCGCCUCUUCUUUUCGUUCCGCAGCUCUCCUGCGUCGGCAUCCUGUAUUCUUCCCGAAGACAAGUCAUCCUCUUCCUCUGGCUCUUCCCCCUUUUUUUCGCUGUUGCCUUUUUGGUGAUGAUCACGCUUCCACGGCUGCUGCCUGUUUCUGCACCAGCUUGUCGUCUAUGCUCCCCACACGGCUAUAUUGCGUGCGUGUGCUCAAGUCGCCUGCCGUUUCCAUCUCGUCUGUGUGACUUUGUACCGCGCAGCAACCCCCCGCCAACGGUGCCGUGAGCCUUCACGCUCUUCGCCUUGCCUCCGCCUGUUCCCUGUCUGUCACUCCGUCUUUUUACCGUUCUACAGCGUGUCGCGAGUCUUUUUGUUUCCAUGUCUGUUGUUGAUGAUGUUAUCGGACCUCAUCAUGUUGCCACACUCGCAUGCACAUUAUCUGUCCACGCACGCGUGUGCACCUGCUACUUGCUGCUUGUGCGCGCGUGUGCGUCUGUGUGUGUACACCGCCAAAAAAACGAGCAACGGGGGGGGAAGCCGCUGUAGCGUGGGCAAAGGGGUGGAGGGGGAGGGGGCGAUAAGUGGAAGGUGUGGCGGGUCGCUGCUUUGUGAUAAAACGGAGACAAAGCCGAAAACACGUCCAGCGGGGCGCAGGCACCCACGCAGACAAAAGGAAAAGACACCUCAGAUGAUGGGGUCGCCUUUAGUGUGCAGCAGAUCUCCACCAGCGAGGCUGUGCGCGUUUCGUUUCUUCUUUUUUUUUGGUUUUACAUGUCUUUUCUGCCCUCUCGUCGAUUUUCUUUCGUUUUAUGGUAUUUGCGUGUAUUGCUUCUCUCUCGUUUCGUUGCGUGGACGCUCUCCGGUCUCCCACGUCCUUCUUUUUUUCCACACUGCCUUUGUUUUUAAAUUUUUAUCUUUGUUGCUCGCUUCUUCUCCAGCUUUCACAACUGACCGAAACCACACCACACCCCGAUGAUACCCGUGUAUACCCAGUUCCACCUGUGGCCCCUCGACUUUUUGCGCACCUCACCGCCCUCCGUGACCAUAUCUGUAUUCCCCUUCUUCUGCGUGUUGCUCGACAGACGAUGUGCGUGAGCGGGACUCGACGCGUGUGCGCACCUCUCUCUCUGUCUGUCUUUAGGUGUGUGUGUGC